UAAUACGGAGGAUCCGAGCGUUAUCCGGAAUUAUUGGGUUUAAAGGGUUCGUAGGCGGUUUGAUAAGUCAGUGGUGAAAUUUCUUAGCUUAACUAAGACACGGCCAUUGAUACUGUUAGACUUGAAUAGUAUGGAAGUAACUAGAAUAUGUAGUGUAGCGGUGAAAUGCUUAGAUAUUACAUGGAAUACCAAUUGCGAAGGCAGGUUACUACGUACUGAUUGACGCUGAUGAACGAAAGCGUGGGGAGCGAACAGGAUUAGAUACCCUGGUAGUCCACGCCGUAAACGAUGGAUACUAGCUGUUCGGAUUUCGGUCUGAGUGGCUAAGCGAAAGUGAUAAGUAUCCCACCUGGGGAGUACGUUCGCAAGAAUG
rnacentral:rRNA from 1 species